AGUAGUCCUUUAUAUGUUGGAUAUGUUGCAGUAUAUCCUAGAUACAAUAUAUGUUUGCAGAACCGAACAGUUCUCUUGUUGCAUAGGGAGAAUUGGAUUUAGAAGGUAUAAAUAACCCGGGAAGAAAAACUAAAAUGCAGAUAGUUUACAUUCGUUUCCCAGUGUUCGUUCUUUGGGUGUAGCUGCUUAUGUCCGUCAUUUAUCAAUUGAAACUUAGUUAGGUCUCUUUGUCAAAGAAAUCCACUUCCAUCAAAACAUGUCCUCAUACAAUAUCGUUGUCGAAGUGUAUAAUGAUCUCCUGGUUCUGCUCAUUUCACUUA